rnacentral:rRNA from 1 species
GACGAACGCUGGCGGCGUGCUUAACACAUGCAAGUCGAACGGAAAGGCCUGCUUUCCCUUGUGGAUUGCGGGUACUCGAGUGGCGAACGGGUGAGUAACACGUGAGUGAUCUGCCCCCAACUUGGGUAUAAGCCUGGGAAACUGGGUCUAAUUCCCGAUAGGACUGCAGGGUGGUGCCUGUGGUGGAAAACGAUUUUCUAGUAGUUGGGGAUGAGCUCGCGGCCUAUCAGCUUGUUGGUGGGGUAAUGGCCUACCAAGGCGGCGACGGGUAGCCGGCCUGAGAGGGUGGACGGCCACAUUGGGACUGAGAUACGGCCCAGACUCCUACGGGAGGCAGCAGUGGGGAAUAUUGCACAAUGGGCGGAAGCCUGAUGCAGCGACGCCGCGUGGGGGAUGACGGCCUUCGGGUUGUAAACUCCUUUCGACCGCGAGGAAGCCACCUGGUUGGAAGGGUGGUGACGGUAGUGGUAGAAGAAGCACCGGCUAACUACGUG